UAGGCUGUAGAAUGCCCAUACCACAGUAGGCUGUAGAAUGCCCAUACCACAGUAGACUGUAGAAUGCCCAUACCACAGUAGACUGUAGAAUGCCCAUACCACAGUAGGCUGUAGAAUGCCCAUACCACAGUAGACUGUAGAAUGCCCAUACCACAGUAGGCUGUAGAAUGUCCAUACCACAGUAGGCUGUAGAAUGCCCAUGCCACAGUAGGCUGUAGAAUGCCCAUGCCACAGUAGGCUGUAGAAUGCCCAUGCCACAGUAGGCUGUAGAAUGCCCAUACCACAGUAGGCUGUAGAAUGACCACACCACAGUAUUGAUGUUAGUGCAGCCUAAGAAUGGGAGAUGCUGGUUUCUCUGUAAGAAUGCAUAUCUGUGUUACUGGCAGCAAUCAAUGCGAUCAUAACUGACAAUUCAAGGCAAUUUAUAGGCUUAUAUGCUUCAAUAAACAAAUAUCUGUUUUUGUCCGUUAUGGUUCCUCAGGCUUAGUCUCCCAUGAAGUGCAGUCCACAAGGCAGAGGUCCCUGUUCUUUUCAGCUCCAGCAGCUUUCCAUCAUGUACCUCUCAAUUGUGGCCUCCUCUCCUCCGGGAUUUAAAACUGGUUAGCUAAUAUACUGUAAAUGAGGGAUGCCUGGUUAGUCUGGCUUCUGGAGGUCUUGAGUGUCAGUGCAGGAGACCAGGACAGGACACCGCAUUAGACAAUUGAGAUGGCUACCUACUGAUAUACAAACCUAUGUAUCAUGCAGGUAAACAGCUUAGCUGGACAGUAUGCAUCAUUUCUUAAAUGUGGGGCAUGACCUAAAAUAUAUAAGUACAACAUUUCGAGAGCUUGAGUCUAUCUGCAAAAAGAGGAUUCUGAGAUAAUUGGCGUUAAAGUUCCCGAACCCUCAUUGGUUUGAAAGGUGUCAGCAAUUUUUUUUGUUAUAUUCUUUCUUUGGAACAGGUAUACAGGUAGAACAAAUACAGGUAGAACCUUGUAGUCCCAACCUCUCGACUUGGCUGUGUCUUUACACUUAUUUUUGUCUCGUUUUUCGAACAUCGAGAAGCAAUUAUUCCACUAAUAAGUGAAAGGACUUUAUAAGUUUCCACCAUCUUUGCGUUUUGCUCACCUGUCAUUUCCUGCCAAAUCUGAGCAAAGGACAGAUAGAAAGGAAGCUAUCGGACUGUUGAGACACAUCCAUUCAUUCAAUUAUACAGUCAGCUUAUGAACCACUGUAAUAAUGCACCAACCACACAAUUACACCUGUAAUAUUGAACCAUGUAAAAAUUAACGAGCAAACCUAAAUUUCAUUGAAUUAUUAUUUUGUGCAUAUUUUUAUUGUUACAGUUAUGCCUAUAGACUUUCUUCACGUAUUCCUUGGUCCCGCAUGACUGUCUACAAUCUAUACUGUAUUUAUAUUUAGGAGCGUACAUCAGAAAGAGAGAAACCCGCAGCGCCAAGCAUAUUGAGCAUGUGAGCUAAAAAUAGCAUCAUCGGACGGCCCCGCGCCGCUCCGUUACCACGCGUUUCAGUAUUCUGCUCCGUAAAAAAAAGAAAAAGGAAACAUCUUGUCGGCUAUAUUAAGACGGUAAUAUAGGCUACCAUUGUUGUGACUGAGGAAUAUGUUUGGAAAGCUACCUACCAUCAGAGAAAGUGGGCGUUUGUUUUGUGCUUGUGUGUAUUCGUGUCCAGUGUCUGUGUGUGUGCGCGUGUGUUUGUGUAGGCGCGCGUGCGUGAGAAUCUGUUGCGUGGGCUGUAGCUUCCAUUAACAUGAAAGGAAGAAGGGAGGGAAGACUAAACGAAUAGAGAGAGACGUAGAGAGAGAGAGAGAGUGCCAGCGAGAGAGGCGGAGAGUUGAGUGAGAGAGGCAAAGAGGGAGGGAGAGAGCGAGCGAGAGAGAAACACAUAGAGAGAGAGAGACAGAGGGGAAGAUUGUGUGUGUGUUUGUGUAGGCGCGCGUGCGUGAGAAUCUGUUGCGUGGGCUGUAGCUUCCACUAACAUGAAAGGAAGAAGGGAAGACUAAACGAAUAGAGAGAGAGGUAGAGAAAUGUGGAGAGAGAGAGAGGGGGGCUUGUGCAUUUUGAAAUGCUUGGAGCCAUGAUUUCGUAUACCGUACAUUUAUAGUCACCGAACAAAGCGACAAUUUUAACCCCAAUAUUGUGUAUUUUACAUUCACUUGCAUGUGGUCAAUUCUGAACCAGCGGUUCAACAGCAAAUUCAACGGCUAUGGCUUUCUAUCAGCAGCGAUGGGCUUCAUGGUGGCUAUGGCUUUCUAUCAGCAGCCAUGGGCUUCAAAGUGGGAGAAUCUUAACGUGACGUCAAUGCCUAGUAACUGACGCAGCUCUCACGAGGAAAAAUAUAUGUAUUUAUGUAUUUUCUCCCUCUAUAGCGUUAAUUGAGUUUUAUCUGAAAUUCACAUAGAGGAGAAAUUAUACAAAAUGUAUAUACUUUAGCUGUAUGCCAUUCUACUAACUGAUACACAGAGAGAGAGAGAGAGAAAACAAAUAUAUGUAUUUAUUUAUUUUCUCCCUCUAUAGCGUUAAUUUAGUUUUAUCUGAAAUUCACAUAGAGGAGAAAUUAUACAAAAUGUAUAUACUUUAUCUGUAUGCCGAGAGAGAGAGAGAGAGAGAAAUAAAACAAAAAAAGUGUAGGAUUAAUUAGACUACAUUGGCAAGAAUCUCUGCAUUGUCAUCCACUGAACGCAAUAAGGCCGCCGUGUCACGUGCACCACUUUAGUAUAGUGAUUUAAAACGACACGGGAACGCGCAUGUAUACAGUGUGUGCUGGGCGAAGGGAAAUAUGAACGCGCAUGUUUCAGCCCUACGCUUGAAAUUCCUCCGAGGAACCUCUGUGAGGUUUUCUUUUUUUUCUCUCAAUGCGAGCUAAAAAUAGCAACGGGGUUGGCUCGUGAUCCAGAAAUAGAUAGGGGGCAUCACUCGUAUAAAAGGCAUACCAUUCAAGAGUACAGUGUGUACACUUAGUGUAGGAAUCAAGAACAGCAGCUGAUCUAGCACUGUUAAAAAUAUAUUUCUCUGUUGUUUUGUGACACUUGAAAAUAGUGUUAGUGAAACGUAUUUCCCCUUUCAGCGAGGGGUUCGCGCAUUGGUGAGUGAUCGGUGCAUUUAUUUUUUCAGUUGAAGGAUGCAUUUAAUACGCUCGACUGUUGGUUAGCGUCCGUAAGGUUAUGUAUAGGCUACCUUGUUUGUUGUAAACAAUGACGACUUUGGAAUAAUGGUCAGAGUGAUUUGGUGUGAAAUGUGAGCGCUAGACGUAUGCUUGAUGAAAAUCAAACCAGCCUUUCUUUUCAGUCGGAGAAUCAUGCAGUGUGUAAAUCGGCGCUGUUGAGCUCUCACGUAUGUUUGAAAUGUCUCUUUCCGCGAGGACUUGUGAAUGUAUGUAAACCUCUGCCUGGGACGAAGGAAACGUAUCCCAAUUAGGCUACUUAAUUAUUCUUUUUGGGGGACCAGAAUCGGGAAGAGUCAAAUGCGUUACAGCUGCACAUAACUCAAGUGAAGACAGUCGGGAGCUGUCCACUCCGGGCGCUGCUGAAAUGUUCACAACUCAAAGCGCGACCAAUACCAUACAGAAAUUCUACUCAGUUUGAAAGAAGAAAGUUUCCAGGCUGACAUUAUGGGUGGAGUUGUCUAUUAGACCACAUUUAAUAGAACAAUACUCAGUUCGUGUUUGGAAUUAUGUUGCUCUCACGUCUGGUCUGGAUAGCGCCAUCCUCUUAGAUUCAGAUAGCAGUUGACUGGAAAGAGCGACCCUUCUCGAGUCGUGACUGCUAAAGUGAGUAGCGCGCGUACUGCGUCAGAGGCGGCAGCCACCCUGUGCUCGAGACAGAAGGAAGGAAUCGUGACCGAUUGGAGGCGGCCACAAAUUAAAGUCCCGGCCAAUCAAAUAGGCGCAAGAGCGGGCCUGAAGAGUUCGGGAACUUUUGGGGUUCCAAUGGAUCUAAUUUAUUGAAUAACCAGUUGUUUUUUUUCGCGCCACCGACUGUCGACUGUCUUCUACUUGCAUAGGCUACUGCAGGCUAUGCAGGAUGUAUAUUUGGGGGUAGCCAAUGGGUUAUCCUAAUAUCGUGCCCUGUAGUCCCCUAGUCCACCAGUGUAGAUAUUGGCUAUUUGAGGAUUCAAUCCCAUCGCGCUUGUAGACAACACAGCUUUUAAAUGCAAUAUUAGCGCGGUCGUUGAGAUCGCAUUCAAGGUAAACGCUGCAGAUGCCGGCUCCUUUAAAAUGUCAAGCGCGCUAUGAAGUGGAUACCGCGGAUCAGAAUGAAUCCCAGCCUUGGUCUAAAUGUGGAUGAUCAUUGUAAUCUGUAGUGUUAGACCUAUAAGUAAGUGUUGGUUCCAUCACUGUGGGGUGUCCAGUGAUGGUUCAUGUUGUUGAUGGUUGAGUAAAUGUUUGUUUAGGGGUAGUUUACGCGCGGCAAUGUGGGAUGCUGUCAGAUGUCAUCAUCUAUUAUCAACAUUCGGGAUAUGUUUCUCACCAUCAAACAUUUGGUUGGAUCAGAUUCAUUUUAUUGUACUUGUUUGUUUCAGAAGCUCCCCAUGUUUGCAUACAUUUAUUUUGGCUUUGGCAUGGUGUAAAGGCAACUGUGUGGACAAUGGUUUGUCCCGUUACUUUUUCACCGUGGGGAGACCAGUUAGUUUUCCUUUUCGUCUUUUUUUGUUGGAUAAGGGGGGUCCCUAUAGAGAUUGAUUGCGAUUGGUAGAUGACGAGUUCUGCACUCUCCAAUGAAACCCUUCGCUACUCUCUAUUUACGGUAUGUUGGAGCAGAGCAGCGUUCUUCCUCGUGCACAGCUAUCGGCAGACAACUGGAGAUCGGCUCUCCACCAGGCGACGUUACGAAUAAGAGGAUGUACGUACACACACCGCGAUUGUUGCUGGUUUAGAAAUAAAACACAGUGUUUUCUGUAGCCUAACGUGAAUUGAUAUGGUUAGACGAAUGUGGUUACAAUGUCGGAUUCCACAUGCAAGAACCUUGCGCGCAAGGAUAGAUUGUGAGUGUUGUACCAAUUGCUGGACAGAUGCACUUUGUGUGGAUGAGAGACAGUGGAAGACUCUUUUUACGGCAGUAGUUCGUGGAGUGAUGUGGAUCUGGACCCAUAGAUUGUCCGUCACGAAUCUUUUUGCGGUCUGGGCUUGCUGUUCAUAAAUAUCAGUCUGGGAAGCCCUUACCCCAAAAAGCAUUUGUGGUGGACUCAGUCGCCGAAUUGAAUGUAUUGUAUUUAUUGACGAGUGAUAUUAUUAUUGUCAUAUUAUUGCAGAUGUUUGUUGUUGUUGUUGUCAAAUAUCUCCCGACACGGGGAGUCAAAAUCUGCAUGCAUUGUUGUGAUUUCAUAAACAUGUGUGGUAUAGGCCUAUAGUUCAGGACAAUAGGGAAAGGACCUGUUAGUCCUUUUUAGAGGACGGACACACACACACAAGUUGGAUAACUUUCCUAUCAUUGUGGAUAAUCAUCUUGAACUUUCUGUAUAAAAUCUAUAGAAGACUGAACGUGUGUGUUUGUAAGAUCCCAGGUUACAGGUAUAUUAUUGAUUGUGUUGGAAGCAGAAGUAGGGAAUGUAUGUAGUGUACACAACAGCACAGUAGCAAACUGUGUAGCAGUGACACGUACAGGUUACCUGGGAGGAGAAACGACACAACAUCCACCUUUAAUAGUGUUAUUUCGACUUCAGACAACUGGUUUCUUCCAGGCAUUUGUCAAAUGAUAAACAUUUCUGGCUUUUAAUAUGACAUUCAUUUCACUUGACAUGUUACACAUGUUAUUUUUUAAUACCUUUAUUUUGACAGAGAGCCCUGUAAUUACAGAAACAUACACAUCCAUACAAUACGGAACACAGAGAGACAGGUGUUACAUGUGUUAAAUGUUGCCGUCUAAUGUUGUAAUAUUUGGUUACAUUUUAUCUGUCACCUUUUGUACAUGAGUUCUGUAUUCUUCAAAACACAAUGAUGUGGGAUAAUUGUAUGAGUUUGCUGUUUAAAUAAAAUGUUGAUUAUGAAA